GAUGAACGCUGGCGGCGUGCCUAAUACAUGCAAGUCGAGCGAACGGACGAGAAGCUUGCUUUUCUGAUGUUAGCGGCGGACGGGUGAGUAACACGUGGAUAACCUACCUAUAAGACUGGGAUAACUUCGGGAAACCGGAGCUAAUACCGGAUAAUAUUUUGAACCGCAUGGUUCAAAAGUGAAAGACGGUCUUGCUGUCACUUAUAGAUGGAUCCGCGCUGCAUUAGCUAGUUGGUAAGGUAACGGCUUACCAAGGCAACGAUGCAUAGCCGACCUGAGAGGGUGAUCGGCCACACUGGAACUGAGACACGGUCCAGACUCCUACGGGGGGCAGCAGUAGGGAAUCUUCCGCAAUGGGCGAAAGCCUGACGGAGCAACGCCGCGUGAGUGAUGAAGGUCUUCGGAUCGUAAAACUCUGUUAUUAGGGAAGAACAUAUGUGUAAGUAACUGUGCACAUCUUGACGGUACCUAAUCAGAAAGCCACGGCUAACUACGUG
rnacentral:rRNA from 1 species